CGGGAAGUUCUCAGUGACUCCCCGGUCUCAGGUAGAAGGGAGGCAAAUGGCCGGGGAGGAGGGAGAAGACACGGAGCUGUUCCGGGAUGAGGAGGAGGAGGAGGAGGAGGAGGAAGAGGAGGAGAUUCUGACCCCGGCUCAGCUCAUCGCUAAGCUGGAGGAGGCUUGGCUGAAUGAGAAGUUUUCUCCUGACCUUCUCCAAAGUAAAUCUGAGAUUGUGGAGUGUGUAAUGGAACAGCUGGACCACAUGGAACAGAACCUGCAGCGAGUGAGGGAGGGAGAUCUUAAAGUCACCAUUCAUCGAAUGGAGAUGGAGAGAAUUCGCUACGUCCUCAGCAGCUACUUGAGGUCACGGUUGCAAAAGAUAGAGAAGUUUUUCCCUCAUAUCUUGGAGAAGGAGAAGUCCCGGCUCGAGGUGGAGCCUUCCUGUUUGUCCCCACAAGAAUUCGCUUUUGCAAAAGAAUACACAGCCAAUUGUGAGACAUACCUGAAGAGCCUUGCCCUGAAGCACAUGCCUCCUAACUUGCAAACGUUGGACCUCUUAAAAGCUGCCCCCAAACCCAACCUGGAUUCGUUUGUCUUUCUGACGGUGAAGGAAAGGCAGGAGAACAUACUCGUGGAACCAGAGACCGAGGAUCAGAGGGAGUACACCGUUGAUUUGGAGGAAGGGUCCCAACACUUGAUGAGAUACAAGACGAUUGCCCCUCUCGUGGCCAGUGGGGCAGUACAGCUAAUAUAAAUGGAGAUCCGGGGAGAAGUUUAACAGUGGGAACGUUGCUCCAGGUGCCCCCUCGCAUUGUGGCCGGAUUCGGUGACCAGAAGAUUUGCUUCACCUUUAGCAGUUUGUCUGUUUUCCUUACAGAGUCUGUUACCUGCACAAGCCUCAAGAACUUGGGCCCACGUUUUCUUGUAGAACAACAGUCCUGGUUUGUGAGUGGGUCCGGUUAUUAUUGAAAGGGCUAAUAAAAUUAUUUGUCACGUUUUGA